CGUCUCCCACGGGGAGGCGUGGCCGCAGUUUGCGCGUGCGCAAGCGCAGUAAACGUGGAGGUGUCCUGGCAAGUUAACCCCAGGGAAAGUACCGAAUCUUUGGUGGCGAGUCUUAUUAUAACGCUAGACGUGCGUUUUCCACGUUGCCUCUUCCUUCCUCGUUUGUGAAGAAUCUGAGGAGAAUGUGGGGCACUGUGAUGAACAAGACCAAAGCAGCUUUAACAAUUUAACAGAAUGUUGGUGUGCCUAGUGUCCAGCUUUAUUAGAUGACUUGUAACUCAAAAAGAAAUUUGGGUUCACCAUUGCUUGGCAACAAAAGCAGCAAGGGUUUUCUCGGAGUCCGUAGAGGGGUUGCCUUGGAAGAGACGGAUAAAUGCAUCGCAGCCCUAUUUCAGCCAGAGCAACUUCACCUUCACCUGUGUUCACACUGGGGUUCCAAAAGGACAAAGAUGCGAAGAGGUUAGAAGACUUGUUCAGGUCACACCAUGAAAAUGGUAGCGCUCUAAUGGGAAUCCAGAUCCUGAAAAUUACCGCAAAUUGUGGAUUCGAGCCACCGGCUGCAAGCCAAUAGUGAAGACAGGAGGAGGAAGCACUGAAUCAAAUCUGCACCCCACCUCUAACAUAUGUGCCCUGAGGCAGUAGGCUAAAUCCUAUCUACUCCUACCAUGAAACCUGCAGGCCCUUGGGUAAGAUUGCCAGAUUCUAAAGUUGGAGAGAAGCUGAGAGGUAUAAUAGAUAGGGAUUGUUGUGAGUCAAUUCCCGGGGGCACCUGAGCCUAAGGGUUAAUUGGUUUGAUGCCAAACUUUCUCUCUCUAUGUGCAUAGAAAGCAUUUCAGCUUUCUGGUUCAGAGAAUUACUGAAAUUUUGUUGGAUUUUUUUUAUCUUAUUACAUAUGUUUUCCUCUAAUGCACUUUCAACAAACCACAGAUGUCUAAACAUUUUGAGGUGUAUGAUUUUUUCAUAUUUUGAAUGACUGUACACUGACAAAGAUGUGUUGCAGGAAGUGUGAGAGUCGACAUAACAUACUAUAAUAGCUCUGAAAGGAGUAUGAAAAUUUGCCUCCAACAGUAAAUUCGUAUUCCAUUUACAAUGGGUCUUAAUUUUUUUCUCCAAUGCUUCUAAAGGCUAAGAAUGUUGAUAUUAUUUAUUACUUCUUA